CCCCACAUAGCUCAGUUGGGUAGAGCAUGAGGCUCGUAAUCUCAGGGUCGUGGGUUCAAACCCCAUUUUGGGCA